rnacentral:lncRNA from 1 species
CGUUCAUUAUUUCAUUGUUCGGAAAAGAUGUAGUUUUAUUUUGAUCUAAGUUGAAGUUUUAUUAUUCCACACCCAUCAUUACUGAACUUUAGUUUAUACCAUUACUCAGUUUGUGGUACUAGUCUCGCUACUAAUUACAAUUGGACUUCUGACUUUAUACUUAGCAUUAGACCAAGUAAGAGCCCCAAAUACAUCUUUCUUAAGUGAGCCAUCACCAGCAGAGACUGUCACCUGGUAUGUCAACUUCUCACCAUCUUUUGUAAACUGGAGUUUCUCUGGCGUCACCUGAAUACUAAACCCUGGUGGUGUCUCCACGCUGACUGUGUAAACAGCCACACCGUCUCCACCAACAUUAGUCGCUGUCCUGCUCACCGUCUUGUUCUCAUUCCCCUUGUAUCCGGAGAUUCCAAUUGAUGGAUAAUUAACGGUUGAGAUCAAGUCUAGCUUGGAAUCUUCAGGGCAAGUGAAAUUUUCUGGAACAGAUUUUGAUAUGGUCUUGAUUGUGCUUAUGUUGUAUCCAUAGUAACAGAGGAAGUUCAAGUAGUCAACAGCAGUAGUCUUUCGCUUACAUGGAAUGCCUAAAAACCAUUACUAGUGAUCGUGAUCCAACCUUCUUAAGUGACGUUUGGAGAGAGAUGUUUCGAGUCCAUGGCGUUGAUCUUAACUUCUCUACGGCUUAUCACCCUCAAACCGAUGGCCAAACGGAAGUUACUAACAAAACUCUGGAGACAUACCUGCGUUGUAUGGUUUCCGACUCGCCUCACUCUUGGAGCUCCUGGCUUUCACUCGCAGAAUGGUGGUAUAACACUACAUAUCACUCUGCCAUCCAUAGUACACCGUUCGAAAUCAUUUACGGUCAACCACUCCCAACUCACAUGCCUUACCUUCCAGGAGAAAGUUCUUCACCAGCCAUUGACAGGACACUUCAGAAACGCGAAGCCCUCAUCGAUAUGAUGAAAUUCCAUCUCUUACGUGCUCAGAAUCGGAUGAAACAGUAUGCCGACUCUCGACGUUCUGAUCGCGAAUUCACAGUUGGCGACUACGUAUACUUAAAGCUUCAGCCUUAUCGCCAACAUUCACUCGAAGGUCGACACAUGCCUCAUAAGCUUUCACCUCGCUACUACGGACCUUUUCGCAUUCAAGAUUGUGUUGGCUCGCCCGCUUACAAGCUUGAGCUAUCUCCGACUUCUGCAAUCCACAAUGUGUUUCACGUGAGUCAACUCAAGCUCUGUCCCAACCCGCCAAGUUCGAUUCCUACGCUGCCACAGUACCUAAAUGAUGUGGGAUCAAGAAAAGAACCUGAGCUUAUUUUGGAAAAGAAAAUGGUUAAUCGGCAGAACAAACCAGUAACUAAAAUACUCGUUCAAUGGAAAGGUUCUACACCUCAACAAGCGACAUGGGAAUUUUAUCAAGACUUCAUUGCCAAAUUUCCAGACUUUCAUCCUUGAGGCCAAGAAUGCUCUGAAGGAGGGAGUAUUGUGACAGGAUCACGUCGGUUCCGUAAUCUUAUUUCCUUAUUUCUGGUUUUUCCAUUUAACUAACAUAUGGCUUUAUCGUUAAUUUUCCUUUUCCUAAUAGCUAAACCGCCUCUUUGGUUUGCUAUAUAUAUAUAUAUAUAUAUAUGUAGCCUUAGGGCAUGAUUUAUAUCAUACAAUCAAUAAACUACUUUUUCUCAUCUUACUUAUAUCAUACGAACGUAAGGUUUCUAAGAAGAUCAAACAGGGAGAGACUUGAAGAUAAAUCAAACGGUGUUGGUGCAGUAGAGGCGGCGAUGUUGUCUUUGUCCGUUGAAGAUGAAUCGAAAGGGAAGGAAACUGAAAAGGCGAUAUUGUCUUUGUCCGAAGCUGCCGAAAAGAUCGAUCCCUCAGAUUUUGCAGCUUUCAUGGGCAAAGUAAGGGUAAGUGAAGUGAAUGCAUUUGUUUAAUCCCUCAGACAAAAUCGAAUUUCAAUUUUUGGUCUUUUUGUUUGUUAACAGGCUGUGCCAGAGACUGACUUAGAGCAUCUCCAAAAAGGAACUCUAUUUUGAAGUUUCCGAAACUUUAUAUAUGAAGUUUCAAUGUGUUCUUCUCCAAAAGUAAAACUUCAAACCUAACUUUAAAAUUAUUUAUAUUUUACACUAUGGUCCUUAUAUUUGUCAUAGUUGGUGUAAAUUCAUAAAACUUCUAUAAAUAACUAAUACAUAUAUAUAAAUAUUACAGAAAUAUUAAUUAAAAUAAAAUCUUACACUAAAAUAUAAAAUUAUAAAUAAAAGUACAUAAUUAAAUAUUAAACUGCAAGCAAAUAUUACAUUUUCCAUAAAAUUAUUUCCAUAAUGCUCUCAUAUAUGAUCAACUAGUGCAUUUCGAAGUAAGAAAUGAUUCUCUUUAUUUUUUAUUUGUAGAUUACGAGCCAAAAAUUGUUGAAAUCAGAUAUCCUCAUAAUAUGGCUGCUGAUAGUUUGAUAUCAUCAAACGAAAAAAAUCGUUGAUCUUUUAAAAGAAAGUACAACAAGCAGGGAAAAAAGUCAUGAGAUGAUUGAAUUACGACUGCAAAAUAAAGCAAAAAAGUUAACUCUUAAAGAAGUAAAAGAGGAAAAUAAAAUAUUGCUAAAAAACUUAACUUCUAUGGAUAAUGUUAAUAUUCGUGAAUACAUUCGAUCUGAACAAGAAAGAAUCAUACGAAAAAUGCGUCAAGAGCAACAACAACAAUCAUCUUCGGUUACACAAAAUUUAUUUGAACAAUAUUUUGGAGAUUUUGGAGGUUCCGGAGCAAAUUUACCAGACUAUUAGUGUUGUUAUAAUAUUUAAAUUUGAGUAAUAAUUAUGUCUUCAUGUGUCUUUUUAAUAAGUUUUUAUUAUGGUUUUUUGUAAUAUUUUUUUUGUUUAAUUCUAGUUUUAAAAUAUUAUAAAUGUUGUUUUAAAUUUUUUUAUUUAAUUUCAUGUGUAAAAAUUAAAUUUAUAAAACAAAUUUGAAAUAUUUAUGAGAUAUAAAAGUUUUAAGGAUUAAAACAAUAUACAAAAAAAUAUUUAAGAAUUAUAAAUACAAUAUAUAAUUGUAAGGACCAAAAUGCAAAUAAAAAGAUGAAACUUCAAAUUUGAAGUUUUGAAAAGUGAAACUGUAUAUUUGGAGUUUCACUCUUCAAAACUUCAAAUUUGAAGUUUUGAAGUUCUUUUUUGGAGAGCAAAAAACUCUAUAUUUGAAGUUAUAGAGUUUCUUUUGGAGAUGUUCUUAGUGAGGAUUAACUGUUACCUUGUGAGAGCAUUUUCCCAAGUACCGCCAUUACCAUGGUUUAACAUGAUAAAGACAUCUCCUUUGUCCGAUGUGAGUUUACCUUUUCACUACAAGAAAACGUAUCUUUACCGAGGAAGUUUAACGAGGAAAAAUAAUCCUCGUAAAAAAACGUUGAUUUUGCGAGGAAAGUACGUUGAGAAAGAAAAGCAUCGUUAUUUCGUCGUAAGGUAACGACAAAAAAUAUUCGUCGUAAAGACGAUGUAAAUUGACGUGGCUUUUACGAGGAAAUAGUUUUUCCUCGUAAAAGCCACGUAAAUUUCGCGAGUGCUUUACGACGAAAUAUUUUACGUGUACUUAACGAGGAAAUUUUGAAUCCACCAACUUGGUAGGUGGCUCACGUUUUUUUUUUGGCCAUACAAUUAAUUUUCGUCGUAAUUUCAUAGUAAAAUUACAACUACCAGAUUCGAAAUUUUCUAUAAAUAUGGAUGUUGGAACAUCAUUUUAAACACACCAACAACAAAAAACGUGAAAGAAAAAAAAUGGCUGGCUCUGGGACUAUUUACGAGUUGCGGAAUUGGAUGUAUAUGCAUAGAGAUGCUAACGGGAGAGUGACGAAAGAAUACCUUGCGGGGCUGGAGACAUUUAUGCACCAAGCAGAUUCAACACCGCUCGCCCAAGAAAGUGGUAAGAUGUUCUGUCCUUGUCGGAAAUGCAACAAUUCGAAAUUGGCAAACCGUGAAAAUGUUUGGAAGCAUUUAAUAAAUAGAGGUUUCACGCCAAAUUACUAUAUCUGGUUUCAACAUGGGGAAGGUUAUAAUUAUGAUCAGAAUGAAGCUAGUAGUAGUAAUAGCAAUUUUCAGGAAGAACCGGUUAAUCAUCAUUUGCAUAAUGAACAUAGUUACCAUCAGGAGGAGAUGGUAGAUUAUGAUAGGGUUCAUGAUAUGGUAGCUGAUGCAUUCGUAGCUCAUGAUGAAGAUGAAGAACCUAAUAUAGAUGCAAAAAAGUUUUACGGAAUGUUAAACGCGGCGAAUCAACCACUUUACAGUGGUUGUAGAGAAGGUCUCUCUAAAUUGUCGUUGGCUGCUAGAAUGAUGAAUAUUAAAACUGAUCACAAUCUACCUGAAAGUUGCAUGAACGAAUGGGCGGACUUGUUUAAAGAGUAUUUGCCGGAAGACAAUGUGUCUGCUGAUUCUUAUUAUGAGAUUCAGAAAUUAGUUUAUAGUCUUGGGUUGCCUUCGGAGAUGAUAGAUGUCUGCAUCGACAACUGCAUGAUCUAUUGGGGAGAUGAUGAGAAGCUAGAAGUAUGUCGAUUCUGCAAGAAGCCACGAUUCAAGCCGCAAGGACGGGGACGUAAUAGGGUACCGUACCAAAGGAUGUGGUACCUACCAAUUACAGACAGAUUGAAAAGAUUGUAUCAAUCAGAGCAGACUGCUGCAAAGAUGAGAUGGCAUGCCGAGCAUACUCAGACGGAUGGUGAGAUGACUCAUCCAUCAGAUGCAAGAGCCUGGAAACAUUUCAACAAAGUACAUCCGGAUUUUGCUAGCAAUAGCCGGAAUGUGUAUCUCGGAUUAUGCACAGAUGGAUUUAGUCCGUUCGGAAUGUCAGGGAGACAAUAUUCAUUGUGGCCAGUCUUUCUUACGCCAUACAACCUGCCACCGGAGAUGUGCAUGCAACGGGAGUUGCUAUUCUUGACGAUAUUGAUACCUGGUCCGAACCAUCCAAAAAGGUCCCUGGAUGUUUUCCUACAACCACUGAUAAAAGAGUUGAAGGAUUUGUGGUCAACAGGGGUGAGGACGUAUGACUGUUCAACGAAGACGAAUUUUACGAUGCGAGCUAUGCUUUUGUGGACCAUAAGUGACUUUCCUGCAUAUGGGAUGUUGUCUGGAUGGACUACACAUGGGAGAUUAGCUUGUCCAUAUUGUAAUGGAACGACAGAUGCGUUUCAACUGAAGAAUGGUAGGAAGACAAGUUGGUUUGAUUGUCAUCGUCGAUUUCUUCCCAUUGGCCAUCCUUACCGAAGAAACAAGAAUUUGUUUAGGCACAAAAGGGUUGUGAGAGACACUUCUCCACCAUAUCUAACUGGAGAACAAAUUGAAGCACAAAUCGACUACUACGGAGCUAACGAAACAGUUCGUUGGGGUGGUAAUUGGCAUGUCCCUCGUAAUAUGCCUGAUUCUUACGGUGUUCAUCACAACUGGCACAAGAAGAGUAUAUUUUGGGAGUUGCCAUAUUGGAAGGAUCUUCUUCUGCGCCACAACCUCGAUGUGAUGCAUAUAGAGAAGAAUUUCUUUGAGAACAUCAUGAAUACAAUAUUGAAUGUCCCAGGGAAGACAAAAGACAACAUAAAAUCGAGGUUGGACUUGCCGGAUAUUUGCUCAAGAAGCGAGUUACAUAUUAAAAGCAAUGGACAAGUUUCCGUUCCGAUAUUCAGACUGUCUUCAGAAAAAAAGUCGGUGUUGUUCAACUGGGUGGCAUCAGAAGUGAAGUUCCCCGAUGGGUAUGUUUCAAAUCUCUCUAGAUGUGUUGAAAAGGGUCAAAAGUUCUCUGGGAUGAAGAGUCAUGAUUGUCAUGUCUUUAUGCAACGACUACUGCCCUUUGCAUUUGCGGAGCUACUUCCAACAAACGUACAUGAAGCACUUGCAGGUUCGUAGUGUUUUAUAUCACAAUAAUUUUAUAACGGUCUAGUUUGCAAAAUAAUAUACGACUAACAAUGUGUUUAAUUGUUUUUGGAAUAUAAAAGGCAUUGGAGCAUUUUUCAGGGAUCUGAGCACACGCACUCUUAAAGAAGAAGUUGUAGAACAGCUUCAGGAGAACAUUCCCAUCUUAUUGUGCAACUUGGAGAAGAUAUUUCCUCCUGGAUUUUUUGACGUCAUGGAGCAUCUAGCUGUCCACCUCCCAUAUGAAGCAUUGCUUCGUGGACCUGUACAUUACGGAUGGAUGUAUCAGUAUGAGCGAGCCAUGAAAUAUUUGAAGGGAAAAGCAAAGAACCUCGCCAAAGUUGAAGGUUCUAUAAUUGCUGGAAGUUUGACGGAAGAAGUUUCUCACUUCACAUCGUACUACUUUGCGUCAAAAGUACGUACCCGUAGAAGAGCUCCAAGAAGAUAUGAUGAUGGUGGAGUUGCGCCAACAUAUGCAGUUGCUGGUGUUCCAGACAUCUUUAGCCAGAUUGGACGACUCGGUGGGAAGUCUAAAGAGGUUUGGUGGUCGAGUGAACAAGACGCUCAUAGUGCACACACCUAUAUUCUACUCAAUUGCGAGGAUCCAUUGAUGCGUUAUUUUGAAAGGUAACAUAUAUGGACACUUCAAAACACAUAUAAUUAAUUAUAUAAUUGCAAGAGAUUCAUUCCUAUGAAAUGUGAUUAAUUUUACAGCCUAUUUGUUUCUCAAGUCGAAGAAACAUUUCCUGGUAUAUCCACAAGUGACGUAGACAAAAGGAAAGAUCAGCACUUCAUUAAGUGGUUGCGGAAUCAGGUAUUAUAACUCAAACUAUUUUUUCAUACAUGAUUUGUAUUUUAAUGUUCUCUUUAUUUUUGCAGGUUGAUUAUGACGACGAUGCAGAUUAUCCUAAGUGGUUACACGAAGUAAUUCAAUCUCCACUUGUAAAGGUCACCACAUCACAGAUGUAUUUCACACGAGGCUACACUUUUCACACAUAUGAGUAUGGUAGACAGCGGGCGACCAGUAACUAUGGAAUAUGUGUGAAAGGGGAAACAGAUUUCUACGGGAUCUUGACGGAGAUUAUUGAAGUCGAAUUUCCAGGGAUACUGAAGCUGAAAUGCGUCAUCUUCAAAUGUGAAUGGUUCGACCCCGUCGUCAACAGAGGUGUUCGGUCUAACAAAUUUGGUGUAGUUGAUGUCAACGGUGGACGUCGGUACAACAAAUUCGAGCCUUUCAUCUUAGCUUCACAAGCAGACCAAGUUAGCUUCCUUCCAUACCCUCGGAUGAGAGAUUCGGGUAUAAAUUGGUUAGCAGUGAUCAAAGUUACACCUCGAGGACGAAUCAUCAGUGGAGAAGAACCACCAUUGCAAGAAGAACAGAUAAAUGAAGUCGAGGAACCUGAACAAGAAGUUGAUGACAUCCUUCUCAUUGAUCCGCAUAAUCACGAAUACGAAGAUCUUACCGAUGAUGCCACAGACGAAGCUGUAGAAGACGAGUUUAAUGAAAAUGAUGAUAUUUCUAGUGAUGACGAGAAUGUCGAUGUAUCCGAUUGAUGUAUUUGAUUUUGUGUAGUUUGUUUUAUGAAUAAGGUAAUGUGAGAGUUUGUUUUAUGAAUAAGGUAAUGUGGGAGUUUGUUUUAUGAAUAAGAAAUUGUGGGAGUUUGUUUUAUAAAUAAGUAAAUGUGGGAAUUGUGGUUUGGAAUGAAAAUAAAGAUGGGGUUUGGAAUAUAUGAAGUAGAAGAUAAGGAAUAUGGGGUUUUGGGGUUUGGGGUUUCGGAUUUUAGGGAUUAAACGUACUGCUCGUUAAUUCCUCGUAACCUGACGUCGAAUGUACGACGUAAUCCUCGUUUAUUCCACGUAGGACAGAAUCGUCGUAAAGACCUCGUAAUGUAAAUUGACGUAAAUGCCACGUAAAGUAAAUGACGAAGGAGGCACUCGUUUAUUCCACGUAGGACAGAAUCGUCGUAAAGACCUCGUAAGGUAAAUUGACGUAAAUACCACGUAAAGUAAAUGACGAAGGAGGCACUCUUUAAUUCCACGUAGGAUGAUUUCGUCGUAAACACCUCGUAAGGCCACGAGGACUUUACGACGAAAUUAAAAAAGCGGGGCACGCUAAUUCCACGUAAGCCAAAAUCGUCGUAAAAGAGUCGUAAACUAACGACGAUAUUACGACGAAAAUAUUAAAAAUACUAAAAAAAAAAGAGAAGAAAGAUGCUUGAAUCACAUUUGGCGAGACUUACGUAAGUCUCGACCACAUGAGUUCCAAAUAUCUUCUUCUCUUCUUUUUUUUUUCCAAAUUUUCUAAAUUGGUGAAAAGCGGGACUUGCUACUUCCUCAUAGUAUAAAAACUAGAAAAAAAGAAAAAAGAAAGAUACUGGAAUUAUAUGUGGCGAGACUUAAGUCUCACCCACAUAAAUUCUAAUAUCUUCUUUUCUUCUUUUUUUUUUCAAAUAUUUCUAAUUUGAAAAGUAUUUUGGUGAGGAGUGUGAUUUGAGAUAGGGUGUGUUUUGUGAGUUUGUGUGUGUGGUUUGAGAAGGAAAGUUGUGGGUAUUUAUAGAAAAUAAAGGCUCGCUAAUUCCUCGUAACUGGUUAACUCGUUAAUUCCACGUAACCCUUUUCGUCGUAAAAACGUCGUUAACGAAAACGCGGGCCUUUGUAUUUCGUCGCUAUUUCGUCGUAACUGAAAACGCGGGCCUCUGUAAUUCCUCGUAAGUUUACGAGGAAUUACGAGGACAAGUAAUCUUAUAUAUAUCCCGAGCGAGCUCGCUCCGUCUUUCCUCUCCACUUCCUCUCCACUUCCUCCCUAAUUCGUAGCAAUGGUAAGUCUCUCUAAUUCCUCUCUAGUUUGAUUAGUUUAGGAUAGAUUAGGUGGUUAGUAUAGGGAAUUUAGAUAGGUUUACGGAUCUUAUGUUAUUUAGUGUUGAUUAGGUGGAUAAUGUUGGGAAGUAUAUGUUCACGAAAAUUUAAAAAAUUAAAUUUUUUUCUCAGGUUCGAAAAGGUAGACUUACUGCCCAUUACAGAGAGAUGUUCGGUGAGCCGGGUAGUCGUUUAGACCCGUCGUCUUCUUCAGCUCCCGGUUCUUCGGGUCAGGAGACUGUCCCCGAGACUCAGUACACUCAGAGAGUCAUUGGAUCUCCUUCUUCUAGUGCACCAUCGGUUCUUCACGUGCCUCCCCAGAUGCCUCCUCCUCCUCCUGUGCCUCCUACGAUGCCGGCACCUCCGAUGCCCGCGGGCGAGAUUCAUCCCGAUUUGAUGGUGCCUCCGAGUGCUCCUUACUCGCAGUACACCGUAGAGGACAUUCUCCGUCUGCCAGGCAGAGAAGGUUUACCAGUCAUCGACCCCGACCGACCGGACGGAACUUUAUGGUAUGUUUCAUUAUUUUUUUAUUCUUUUUAAAUUCUUUUAUAACUUUAAAAAAUAAUUUAUAUUUUAAAUUUGUAUUUUUCAGGUGGGGGAUUGACGGAUGUCUUGCAUCGGACGUAACCGAUACGAUAAAAGGUUACUUCUCCAUGGCACAUCCGAACUGGAAAAUGACGCCCCACUACGUCAGAAAGACGUGGUUCAAAAUUUACGCUGUAAGUUCUAUUAAUUAAAUAUAUAUCUUUAAAUUUUUUUAUUAUUUAUAUAUAUAUUUUUUUCUGAAAAACUAAUUAUAAAUUAUUUUUUCCAACAGCAAAAAUAUAAUUGGGCCUUGGGGAUCACUGAGAGGGUGAGAAAGAAGUUUGAAGCGAAGGCGAAAGUUCGCUUGUUGGACACGGUCUCCAACUGGAAGGGUGACUGGAUCGUGAAGGGGUAUGAGCGUGGCAAACCCGCUGAGCUCACCACGGAUGUCUGGGAUGGCCUCAUCCGAUAUUGGCGUCUUCCUGAUUCCAUUAGAAUCGCCCAGUCUUGCUCUAACUCCCGUAACACAGUCGAUGAGCACGGGAACGGGCCGAUGCUUCACACUACGGGCCAAAAACCCCACGCCGGUGUCCGUUUGGAAAUGGUAAUUAAAAAUUUAAUUAUAUUAAAUUUUUAGUAUAUUUUUAUAUAUAUUCUAAUUAACAACUUUCUUAAAUGUUUUUUUAGGCCAAAGAGACGGGAGAAUUCCCGUCUCUUAUGCAACUUUACGAGAGGACCCACAAGAACAAGGCGGGCCGAUUUAUAGAUGGCAAGUCCGAGCAAAUCUACAACGAUUUGGCUGCUCGGGUUGAAGAACGCCAGACCCAGCUGACCCAACAGUCCACCGAUGGAUUACCCGUCACCUUAUCCACACCUGAAGUGGAUAAGCUUUACGAGGAGGUAAAUUUUCUAAAAUUUUAAUUUUUUUAAAUAUUCAUUUAAUUUAACUUUAAAUUUUUACUAACAAAAUUUAUUUUUUGUUUUUAAGGUUGUCCCUAAAAAAAAGGGACGGACGUUGGGGAUUGGUUCCGUCAACGAUGUUCCGAGAGCGACAUCGUCUUAUGUUCAGCGACGGGAUGAGGAAGUCUCUCAGCUGCGUAGGGAGUCCGAAGAGCUGCGUAGAGAGUCUACUCAGCUGCGUAUAGAGUCUACUCAGCUGCGAUCUCGUAUGGGUGGACUCGAGGGCUUCUUGGACGUUGUAGCGGCCACAAAUCCGGAAUGGGCGACUUUGUUGAGGACCAUGCGACAACAAAAUCCUAUCCCAGGCCAGUCACCGACCGACGACUCACAUGCCGAGGCGGAUGUUCAGGCGAGGAGUGAUGAAUUCUACGAGGCGAUUAAUUAACGACCACCCUUAGUUCUUUUUAAUUUCGGUUAUUGUAUUAUGAAUUCAAAACUUAUUUAUAUAUAAAAUAUUUUGGUUUUGAUUUUUUUAGAAUUUUAAUUUUAUUAAUAAUUUAAAUAAUUUAAAUUAUAUUUAUAAUUAUAAUUUUUUAUAUUUCUAUAAAAUAAUGAAACGAAGUAAAUUCGUAGCUAAUUUUGCGGCUUCUUUACGUGGAAGCUUAACGUGGUUUUUACGAGGAAACAUUUACAUGGAAAUAACGUGGAAAUCUAUCAAGGUUUUUACGUUUUCUUUACGUGGAAAGCUCUCAAGGUAUUUACGUUAAUUUUACGAGUAUUUAUUUACGUGGGUUUUACGAGGAAAGCUUUUCGUGGUAUUUACGAGGAAACUUAGCGACGUCCUUACGUGGAAUCUUUACGUGGUCUUUACGACGAAAUAUCCUCCUUCGCUUUUACGACGAAAUUAUUUCCUCGCUAACUUACGACGAAUUAGCGAGGAUAUAUGCGUUACGACAAACGUAUAACGACGAAACGGGUUUCCUCGCUAAUUCGUCGUAACACUGCUUUUACGACGAAGUAACGAGGAAAACUGCCCUCGUAAAACUUGUGUUUUCUUGUAGUGUUUUUUUUUUUUUAAAUAAAAAAAAUCUUCAAGUCUUGUUUGUUAGAGUCCUGAUAUCUUGCUUGUUUAUUAACAGGUUCCAUUUUCUCAUAUUCCUAAGUCUGUCUACGAAAGAACAACAGUGGAUUGGAUCAACAAACUUCCUUUUAAGUCACACUGGAAGUUCGUAACGUGUGCACUUGAUCGACUUCACCUUGAUUGGGUAUCACAUGCCAGAGGCGAAGAACAACCUAAUAUCGAAUAUCAGGUUAUUUUUGUUUGUAUUAUUAUUCCCUUUGUUUUGUCUUCUUAUUUCAUUAUAUGUUCUACUUAGUUUGUGCUUUUGUAACAACAUUAGGUGGGGACAUUGGUUCAAUUAGCCAUGGUGUUGCGUGCUACACCUGAUUCUUUGACUUGUCUUUUGCCGAUGCUGAAGGGGAAACCUAAGUUUCAUGGCCAAGAAAACCUUCCGCUUAUCGUUUGGAUGAUGUCUCAGGCCUUCCAUGAUGAUUUACCUGCUGCCUUGUAUUCAUGGGCGCUUAACUUGCUCCCACUAGUCGUUAACGAGUGCUACAGCUCUCACUCAAUUCAUCUCAUCCUCCAAUUUGUUGAGAUGUGAGUCACAGUUUUUAAUAUUUUCUCCCUCUCUCUCUCCCUCCUCCUCCUGUCUGCUCUUGUAUCUAAUCUUUGUUUUUUUCUUUUUCUUUUCAUCAGGAUUUUGUCCUCGAAUUCAGAGGCUCGGGCUGUACUCCUAAACGAACCUGUUAGGCAUGGAGAGCGUCUGAUUCCACCUUGUUCGUUUGAGAUGUUGGUGCGGCUUACAUUCCCUGCUCCAUCCGCUAGAGUAGAGUCAACACAGAGGUUUGAGGCUAUUUAUCCCUUGUUGAAGGAAGUAGCCCUUGCACCAGAUAUUACUGCAAACGCACUGAAACGGAUAUUCACUUUUUCCUUGAAAUUAGCUGGUGGACAAGGUAUUGGUGGUAACAAAUACGAAAACCUCUCUCUCUCUCUCUCUCUCUCUCUCUCUCUUGGCUUGGUGGUUCUGUUUGAAUUCACCACCCUUUGCUUGUUUGUUUACAGGAAAUCCUGCUCUAGCCAAUGAAGCUACAGCAAUCGCCAUCAGUGUUUUGACACAAAACGUUGAUUGCUUUAAGCAAUGGGUUGUUCUCUACAAAGAGAAUCUUGAAGCUAGCGUUGCUCUUCUUAAUAAGCUUGUAGACGAAUGGAAGUAUCAUUCCCUCAAACUUUCAUCAUCUUCGAGUGAUACUCUCACUGUCAAGCAUGCUAUCAACAGCUUCAGGAUGAAGGUAAUAAUAAUGCCUCUCUUAGAAUAUUCUAAGCUUCUAUUAACUCUCUGACCUCACCUGCUAUAAUAUUAUUAUUUGUCUGUAGAACGAAAAAGCCAUCACUGAAGAUGUAGCCAAUCCUUCUCUUUACAAAGAAGCUGACCAGGCGUGCAAACUGAUCUCAAGUAGACUCUCCCGUGGCAUCGGAAUAGCACCCUUAACCGCUAUGGUUAUAGCAGGGGUUGUUGGAGCCGGAGCCGCACAUGCUCUAAUCUAUCUUGCCAGGAGCAAAAAGUCCUUCUCUUAAUAGAUGUUUAUCAGAAUAUUACUUGUUGGCUUCUUUUAAUCCCUUUCUUUGAAGCUAUUAUGAUAUAUAUAUAUUUUAUUGUAAAAUAUUGUUAUUUAAGUUCGCACCUACUCACGAUUAUUAUUCAAGUAGAUUUAACUCACGAUUACUACUCAAGUAAUUUAAGGGUAUUUGUGUUGUAUAACCACUAAAAAUUUAUCAUCAUGUAAUUAGCUUAAAAAAAUUUGACCAAGAUAUUUAAUGUAUUUUCUACAAUAUACCAAAGUAUCUUUCAAUAGAAUCAUUUCAUUUCUUCUCUUUCUUCUCUUUCUUCUCUUUCUUCUCUGUAAUUAACAUUUACUUUUUAUCUAGUUGUGUAAAUAUUUGUCCAAAAAAAUUAGUUGUGUAAAUAUUAUAAAUAUAUAUUAUUGUUUAUAUUUGGAUUUAGUGAUUGAGAUUUGUAUUAUUUAUGAGUUGGAGAAAUGUUUAGUAUUAGGAAUUGUAAGUGAGUUUUAAUCAUAUAAUAAUUCGACCAAAAGGAAUAGAACACUCAAUGUAUCUAUUUAGAUAGUAUAGUAUAAUAUUAUAAAAUAUUGUAUUUUCUUAAUUUUUUUUCAGUUGUGUAAAUAUUAUAAACAUAUAUUACUUUUUAUAUUUGGAUCUAGUGAUUGAAAUUUAAAGUUUAGUAUUUAUGGUUUGGGGUAAUGUUUAGUAUUAGGGGUUAUAGAUAGGUUAUAAUCACUAUUUCGGUAAUAUGGAAUAAAACAUUUGAUGCAUAUAUGUGUGGUCAAUAAAUAUGUGACGUGGAUGGUUUCUCCUUUUUUUCUUAUCUAUUUAUAUAGUGUAGUAUAAUAUUACUAAAUAUUUUUGUAAAAAUAUUAUAAAUAUAUAUAUUAUAGUUUAUAUUUGGGUUUGAAUUUAGUGAUUGAAAUUUUGGGGUUUAGUAUUUAUAAAUAGAGGUAAUGUUAAGUAUUAAGGGUUAUGGGUAAUAUUAUAAACUUAUAAUAUUUCGGUCAUAUAGAAUAGAACACUCAGUAUAUAUGUAUGUGGUCAAUAAACAUGUGAUGAUGAUGACUCCUCUUUCUUUUCUAUUAUACACAUUGACUGAAAACUUGUUAAAAUGAGGAGAAAAACAGGUUGGAAAGCGGUUUAAAUGUAUGAAAUUAUAUUAUGUCAAUAUCAAUGAUGGUUACCUACACUGCCAUCUAAAUUCAUCCUUAGCAAAUCAAUGAUCUAUACAUAGCUGUUCCUCCUCUCAUGAUGCACAGAGAUUAUUCUCUCUGAAACUAUUGAUUCCACAUGUGUCCUGUCCCCCAUCUACUACAAUCUAAAUCUGUUUGCGAGUUGAAGUCUCUCUUUGAUAACUUUCUUGCACCAAUAGGAAAUAUGAUAAGAAAUAAUACAAGAGCGUUCAUUAUUUCAUUGUUCGGAAAAGAUGUAGUUUUAUUUUGAUCUAAGUUGAAGUUUUAUUAUUCCACACCCAUCAUUACUGAACUUUAGUUUAUACCAUUACUCAGUUUGUGGUACUAGUCUCGCUACUAAUUACAAUUGGACUUCUGACUUUAUACUUAGCAUUAGACCAAGUAAGAGCCCCAAAUACAUCUUUCUUAAGUGAGCCAUCACCAGCAGAGACUGUCACCUGGUAUGUCAACUUCUCACCAUCUUUUGUAAACUGGAGUUUCUCUGGCGUCACCUGAAUACUAAACCCUGGUGGUGUCUCCAAGCUGACUGUGUAAACAGCCACACCGUCUCCACCAACAUUAGUCGCUGUCCUGCUCACCGUCUUGUUCUCAUUCCCCUUGUAUCCGGAGAUUCCAAUUGAUGGAUAAUUAACGGUUGAGAUCA